rnacentral:lncRNA from 1 species
AUAACGGUCGAGCUGAAGCUGCCUGAAGUGCAACCAACGGGACCUGUGGAGAUCCCGUCACUUAUCCGGAACACCUAAUUAGCCAAGACCGAUAAUAUUGGGAGUUGAAGUCGCCAGUACACAGGUAUAAAACUACCUCCCCAGCAGAAAAAUAGUACUACCGUCAACAACACUGCAAUUGUUGCGUCAACAACAAAGGACGCAAGUGCAGGCAGCAAGCCCCGGCGCAAUUAAAGUCAACCGCCAUCUAUACCAACAGGUACCGAGCUGGACGUUAGAUAGAAGUUGCACGCACCGCCACACAUAAGCG